AAUUACCCAGCUAAACCCAUGUGUUUCUAUCUACCCAAGUUGAUGUUAUGUAGUUUUUCGAAUUCAUAUCUUAUUCAUAUAUUUUUGAUUUAAUUAUAAUACGAAAGAAGCCUUUACCAAAGACGUACACGUCUCUCUCUCUCUCUCACUUCUCACUUGUUUUGAAGAUCAAUAGCUCAAUUCUUCGAUACGAUCAAGAAUCAGGUGAUUUUCUCUGAUCUUGGACUUGUCAAAAUUGCUGAUUUUCUUUGGUCAAAUUCCUUCCUACUCGUUUCCUAAUCCAUCUUUGUGGGAAUUGUUGCGCUGGUUUCUCCAAGAGCAGAGGAAAAGAAGUGCGUUUGAGCAAUGUGGUAAGACAAAAGCCAAGAUGGACGAGUUAUCAAAUAUUGUUGGUUUAAGCGAGCUGAAGACACAACUGAAGGAAUGCUUUUAGAUGAGAGGCGAAGGGCUCUUGGGCUAAACAUUGGAACUCGAAGAACUCCACAUAUGGCAUUUCUUUGAAAUCCUGGAACAGGUAAAACCAUGGUCCAUGGUAGCUCGAGUUCUCGGGAAAUUGCUUAACCAGGAGAAAGGUGAAAGCACUGUUCAUAAUAUUCUAAUUUCACUUGUGGGUUUGGAUUCAAGAAUCUAAAUUCUUUCUGACUA